rnacentral:lncRNA from 10 species
CGCCCACAGCCCGGCGGGCCCGGGACUUCUCUCCGUCAGUCCCGAAUCGCCCACCUCCCCCGGGGUGAGGGGCUGCCUACCCUCUCUCGCGCGCUCCCUCGGCUUUGCCCCCAGUGCCUACCCUCGGCCAGGACCUCGACGCCGUCUCUCUACCGUGCAAAAGCGGGACCUGAGCUGGCGGCAGGUUCCUGGCAUCCACUUGGCCCCUCCCCUCCUGCUGCUCCAGCUGCCAGAUCAUGGAAUGGUGCCACUUUGAGAAAGGAGAAAAGGAACAAAAGAGCCAGGAGGUCCCACCACUGUUUUUUGAGACCCCCAAGUCUGAAUCCAAUGUCUUGCCCUCUGCUGGUCUGCAGAAUCUGGCUCCAGUUUCUCCAGGAUCUAUUCUUCUGUAAUCCACCUGCACCUCAUCCAAGUGGACCUAGCACCCCUGUACCUGCCCCAGGUCCAGACCUAGCUUCACGCAGUUCUUCCUCCCCACUGUCUCUGCUUUCAGCCACUGCGCCUGCCCUCAUCAUUCAAACUCAAGGAAUCCAAACGUCUGUUUCUGCUGCACCUGGAUCUAGGGGCUCAAGUCAGUCCACCCUCUAGUGGUCAAGAAGAGAAGUGGCAGCCUCUGCACAUCAGCCAGGUCAGACCUUGAGGAGGUCAGCACAGGGAAAUGCCAAGAUCGGGAUGUGACCAGUAUUGGACAAUGAGAGAUGAGAGGAAGUCGGCUGGAAGGCUUCUAGAAAAAGCAUUCCUCACUAUCAAAAAGAGAUGCGCAAAGCGGCAGCUUCUCUUCUGCUGCUGGAUGUUACCGAAUCUGCAUAUGAUAGUAGGAUGACGGCAGCCACCUUGUAGCAAAGAGCAGAGUUUCCUCCAAGAGAACAUUCUACGGGGAGAAGAGGAAACAGCACCAAUGACAUCACUUUGCCUGAGUUCACAAACCCUACAGGUGCUCCCACCCCCUACAUUUUUCCUUGUGUGAGAUAAUAAAUUCCUUAUUAUUUAAGCCAUU